GUUUCCUUUGAGAGCAGGCAUUGCGAUGGGGCUUUCAUGGUGACUCGGAGUGAGGUUGGGGUGGUGGCCCUGCCGGAGGCGCCACGUUUACUCAAGUUUUCCAAGAACACGCUGUUCACCAGCAGCCGUCUCUUGGUGGCUUUGGUAGUGAGCCCUGUCUGUCAGCAGCCCUUGGGGCCCGUGCUGCCCACUGGGUGCCUGGAAUUUCUUUCCGCUAAUUCUCAACCCGUUAUUUCACAGCCUCUCCAUCGUCUCCGGCGCUGCUCCUCUCCCGGGACUGGAUCUUACCUUCCUGCGUUUUAUCGCUACAGCAAUGGCCCCUGUGGACCCUGCCUCGCUCAGUCCCUCCCACACCUGCACUGCGUGGCCAACAGAAUGCAGUGGGAGGGACUUUGCAGGACUCCAGGGCCCUGCCUCUUCUGCUCUCCCUUCUUGGCACAUUGCCUCUCGUGGAGAAGCCCAACUAGCCUGCUGGAGACGGGACCUGGCGACAGCCAGCACCGCACCCUGGACACGUGCGAGAGGCUGGCUCAGGCCAUCCAGCCCCGGGCGAGGUGCCAGCUGACUGCCUCUCGGUGGAGAGAUCCGAGAAAGAGCCAGUACAAGGACUGCCGCUGAGCCCAGCCCAAACUGUUGAUCCAGGAAAACCUAGGCCAAUAAAAUGGGGGUUGUUUUAAGCCAUCAAGUUUGGGAUGGUCCAUUAUUCAGCAAUAGAUACUCGACACAUUAGUUUUUGUUUUCAUCUUUAUUUCUUCCUUCAACAUUUUCUAUGGUUAUUUUGCCUUUUUUAAAAAGAAUCAAGUGCUGUGUCCCAGUCAGAGUUCCAGUGAGAAAUAGGGCACAGUGAAUGGGGAAAAUCUAAGGAAGGAGCUGCACCGAGGGUGGCCAGGGUUCAGGCCAGGGCGAUGGAUGGUGUAGGCCCUCGGCGGCCCUAGUGGGCAGCUUUCAGGCCCGGGGACGGGGAGUCAUUGAGAUCAGCUGUGGCGCUCACUUGAGAGGUGUGGCCAGCUCACAGUGACCUGGUGGG
rnacentral:lncRNA from 1 species